rnacentral:lncRNA from 1 species
CAGCAAGUUAUUUUGUGGAUAUAAACAAACUGACUAUAUAGUUUAUAUGGCAAAAGACCCCGAAUAGUCAUCUCAAUGUUGAAGGAGAACAACUUUGGAGGAUACCAGAAUUCGACUUCAAGACUUGUAAUCAAGCUACAGUCAUCAAGAGAGCGUGGUAUUAGUGAAGGAACAGACAAAUGGAUGGAUAAUGGAACAGAAGAGAGAGCCCAGAGAUAGACUCACAUAAAUAGUCACCUGAUCUUAGACAAAGGAGCAAAGGGGAUACAGUGGAGCAAAGAUAGUCCUUCAACAAGUCGUGCCGAUUAACUGGAGAAUCACAUGCAAAAAAAGUAAUGAAAAAUCUAGACACGGAUCUUACAGUCAUCACAAAAAUUAGCUCAAAAUAGAGCUAAUUGUAAAUGUAAAACAUAAAACUAUGACAUUUCUAGAAGACAAUAGGGAAAAAGAUAGGUAAGUAUCAAUCUGGCAUUGACUCUUCAGAUAUGACGCCAGAAAGGAGACAGUGAUCACGGUGGGUGUCUGAAGAACAAGCAGCGACGCCAACAACCCUGAUUUCCUUUGUUGUCAUGGUGAUCAGUGUCUAUGAGACACUGUAAUGACAAAUCUAUGUCAUCAUAAUUUGUCCAAACAUGGAAUAUACAACACCGAGAUGGAGCCCAAAUGUAAACAAUGGACUCUCCGUGAGGAUGACGGGUCAGUAGAGGUCCCUCAAUUGUAACAGAUGCUCCACUCUGGAGGGCGAGGCUGAUAGUGGAGGAGGCUGUGCAGGCCAGAAGGCAGGCGGUACAUGGGAACUCUGUGCCUUCAUCUCAAUUUUCCUGUGGAACUGAAACUGCUGUGAAAAAUUAAGACUGUUAGAAACGCAGUUCGACGUGUUUGUGUGGGUCUGCUGGUGUCUCUUGAAGCGGGAGCAACUGCAUGUUUAACUUCAUAAGAAGCUGCCAAAUUGUUUUCCAAGAUGGUUGUACCAUUUUGCAUUCCCACCAGCAGCGCUUGAGACUUUCAGUUACUGGAACUUGCCAAUGUUUGGUGCUAUCAGUCUUUCCAAUUGACAUUGGGAAAAACCUACAGCUAGUAUCACACUUGAUGGAAAAGAGCAAAUGCUUUCCUACCCUGAAGGUGGGAACGAGCAAGGAUAACUGUUGCCACCACUGCUGUUCAACAUUGUACCACAGGGUCUAGCCACGCUAAUAGAAGAAGGUAAACUUUAAAAGGCAUACACAUUGGAAAGAAAGAAGUAAAACUGCCA